GGUUGUGGCUCAGUGAUAGAGCACUUGCCUAAAAUGUGUAAAGCCCUGGGUUUGAUCCCCAGCACCA
rnacentral:tRNA from 1 species